UUAUAUCCAUAUAUUAAGAGAUCUUUAAGUGUUUGAAGAGGAAGGAUAAAGAACCAUGAACAGUAAGACCGAAGUGCGGUGUGCCUCAUCUAGGAAAACCUUUACGAAGGCUACAGCACAACUGAAGAGGAAGAAGCCAUCUUGCCUCCAUGAUUGGACAAACAUGAAGAUAAAAGCUUCCCUGUGUGGAUGAUAGAGCAAAAUGAUAGAAGGGGCUCAGACUCCCUUCCUUCAGACUUGAUAUGUGAGGAAAAUAAAAUGCUAUUAUAAGGUUAAGCUACAGAAA